CAUUGCAUUGCUUUGCUGGUAAAGGCAUUGCCGAUCACAGGCAAGGUUGCGGGUUCGAGUCCCGCUGGAACGG
rnacentral:tRNA from 1 species